GCCGGGGUAGCUUAGCUUGGUUAUAGCGCCAGACUCAUAAUCUGGAGUUCGAGGGACCGAAAGAGUCCCUAAUCAUUAAAAAGGAUCUCCGGUAAGCCCUCCCCCGGCA
rnacentral:tRNA from 1 species